UGGGCGGGAGCCUGAUCCAGCCAUGCCGCGUGCAGGAUGACGGCCCUAUGGGUUGUAAACUGCUUUUAUACGGGAAGAAACGCACCUACGAGUAGGUGUCUGACGGUACCGUAAGAAUAAGGACCGGCUAACUCCGUGCCAGCAGCCGCGGUAAUACGGAGGGUCCGAGCGUUAUCCGGAAUCAUUGGGUUUAAAGGGUCCGUAGGCGGGCCUGUAAGUCAGGGGUGAAAGUUUGUGGCUCAACCAUAAAAUUGCCUUUGAUACUGCAGGUCUUGAGUCAUGGUGGGGUCGCCGGAACAUGUGGUGUAGCGGUGAAAUGCAUAGAUAUCACAUAGAACACCGAUCGCGAAGGCAGGUGGCCAACCAUGUACUGACGCUGAUGGACGAAAGCGUGGGUAGCGAACGGGAUUAGAUACCCCGGUAGUCCACGCCGUAAACGAUGGAUACUAGCUGUGGGGACCUCGGUCUCCGUGGCCAAGCGAAAGUGAUAAGUAUCCCACCUGGGGAGUACGUUCGCAAGAAUGAAACUCAAAGGAAUUGACGGGGGCCCGCACAAGCGGUGGAGCAUGUGGUUUAAUUCGAUGAUACGCGAGGAACCUUACCAGGGCUUAAAUGCAGGCUGCAUGGGGUGGAGACACCCCUUUCUUCGGACCGCCUGCAAGGUGCUGCAUGGUUGUCGUCAGCUCGUGCCGUGAGGUGUCAGGUUAAGUCCUAUAACGAGCGCAACCCCUACCGUUAGUUGCCAGCAUGUAAAGAUGGGGACUCUAGCGGGACUGCCGGUGCAAACCGAGAGGAAGGUGGGGACGACGUCAAAUCAUCACGGCCCUUACGUCCUGGGCUACACACGUGCUACAAUGGCCGGUACAGAGGGAAGCCACCCCGCAAGGGGGCGCGGAUCUACAAAACCGGUCACAGUUCGGAUCGGGGUCUGCAACUCGACCCCGUGAAGCUGGAAUCGCUAGUAAUCGGAUAUCAGCCAUGAUCCGGUGAAUACGUUCCCGGGCCUUGUACACACCGCCCGUCAAGCCAUGGAAGCCGGGAGUGCCUGAAGUCCGUCACCGAGAGGAGCGGCCUAGGGCAAAAUCGGUAACUAGGGCUAAGUCGUAACAAGGUAGCCGUACCGGAAGGUGCGGCUGGAACACCUCCUUUCU
rnacentral:rRNA from 1 species